rnacentral:lncRNA from 1 species
AUGUUUUCCGGAAAUUGCGAGUUCUUUCUCCCUCUAUUUUAACAUUUUUCGUACAAAUUUUAAUAAUGAAAACUCGCGUAACGAAGAAGUAUCGUUCUCAAAUUUUAUAAUUCACUUUCCAAAGAGACACGGAAUCGUUUUGGAAACUUCUUGUGCUCAAAAAAUUAACGAGAAGCAAAAGAAAAGAAAGAUUUAACUGAUUGUGAGCACUUAAAGACAGGAGUUGUGUGACAUCAUUCUGACAUAUCACUAGAGCAGCUAUGUGACAUGUAUGUAUGACAAUUACUUUGUGGAUAAUCAAUGGUUAUCUGCUCUACACACACAAUUUUUUAUAUUUUUUUACUCUACGAUACCUGUAACUGAUAACAGGGAUGGUCCUUUAGAAAAUAUUGAUGUUGAACUUUGUCACUACAAUCCUUUAACAAACAUUUCCAUUAUGACAAAAAGCAUGCAAUAUUUUCUUCUAUAAAUGGUCAGUGAACUACUUUACUUUACUUUUAUAUUCCUGGGACCAUUUUAAUUUUAAAUUUUGUAAAAACUGGCAUUCGGAGUUUGAUUUGUCUUGAUGUUCAUUUUGGACUAAUUAGCCCUAUGUUAAUUAAGCACAAUAAAAUUAGGUUCAACUUUUCUUUAUCAUAUUUAAUUAAUGUAAUAGAGAU